rnacentral:rRNA from 1 species
CAGUAGCCGCGGGAAUACGAAGGGGGCUAGCGUUGCUCGGAAUCACUGGGCGUAAAGGGUGCGUAGGCGGGUCUUUAAGUCAGGGGUGAAAUCCUGGAGCUCAACUCCAGAACUGCCUUUGAUACUGAAGAUCUUGAGUUCGGGAGAGGUGAGUGGAACUGCGAGUGUAGAGGUGAAAUUCGCAGAUAUUCGCAAGAACACCAGUGGCGAAGGCGGCUCACUGGCCCGAUACUGACGCUGAGGCACGAAAGCGUGGGGAGCAAACAGGAUUAGAUACCCCCGUAGUCCCUGUCUCUUAUAA